rnacentral:rRNA from 1 species
GACGAACGCUGGCGGCGUGCUUAACACAUGCAAGUCGAACGGAAAGGCCCUGCUUUUGUGGGGUGCUCGAGUGGCGAACGGGUGAGUAACACGUGAGUAACCUGCCCUUGACUUUGGGAUAACUUCAGGAAACUGGGGCUAAUACCGGAUAGGAGCUCCUGCUGCAUGGUGGGGGUUGGAAAGUUUCGGCGGUUGGGGAUGGACUCGCGGCUUAUCAGCUUGUUGGUGGGGUAGUGGCUUACCAAGGGUUUGACGGGUAGCCGGCCUGGGAGGGUGACCGGCCACAUUGGGACUGAGAGACGGCCCAGAGUGGUACGGGAGGCAGCAGUGGGGAAUAUUGCACAAUGGGCGGAAGCCUGAUGCAGCAACGCCGCGUGCGGGAUGACGGCCUUCGGGUUGUAAACCGCUUUCGCCUGUGACGCAGCGUGAGUGACGGUAAUGGAUAAAGAAGCACCGGCUAACUACGUG